rnacentral:rRNA from 1 species
AAUCAACGCUGGCGGCGUGCCUCAGACAUGCAAGUCGAACGAUUAAAGCUCUCUUCGGAGAGUGCAUAGAGUGGCGCACGGGUGAGUAACACGUAAGUAAUCUACCUUCGAGUGGGGAAUAACGUCCGGAAACGGACGCUAAUACCGCAUAAUGCAGCGGCAUCGUAAGAUGACAGUUGUUAAAGAUUUAUCGCUUGAAGAGGAGCUUGCGGCAGAUUAGCUAGUUGGUAAGGUAAUGGCUUACCAAGGCUACGAUCUGUAACCGGUCUUAGAGGACGGUCGGUCACACUGACACUGAAUAACGGGUCAGACUCCUACGGGAGGCAGCAGUCGGGAAUUUUGGGCAAUGGGCGAAAGCCUGACCCAGCAACGCCGCGUGAAGGAUGAAGUAUUUCGGUAUGUAAACUUCGAAAGAAUAGGAAGAAUAAAUGACGGUACUAUUUAUAAGGUCCGGCUAACUACGUGCCAGCAGCCGCGUAAU